rnacentral:misc_RNA from 1 species
GAUGAAGAACGCAGCGAAAUGCGAUACGUAAUGUGAAUUGCAGAAUUCAGUGAAUCAUCGAAUCUUUGAACGCACAUUGCGCUCUCUGGUAUUCCGGAGAGCAUGCUUGUUUGAGUAUCAGUAAACACCUCAACUCCUUUAUUGUAGUUGGACUUGAGCUAUCCCAACAGGACUUUUUGUUCCUGGCGGGAGGCUUGAAAUGCAGGUGCAGCUGGACUUUCUUCUGAGCUAUAAGCAUAUUUAUUUAAUCCCUUAACACGGAUUAUUACUUUUUUGCUGCAGCUAACAUAAAGGUUGAAUUUCCAUUGAGCUGACUGAUGCAGGAAUUUGGCAAGGAAUUUUUUUAAUGACUUGUUAAACUCGAUCUCAAAUCAAGUAAGACUACCCGCUGAACUUAAGGAUAUCAAUAAGCGGAGGA